CCCACUUCAACUUCUCCAAACAUCAAUUUCUCCUUGUGAAAAUAGAGAUAUGAGACCUAGUCUGCAGUGGACCCAUCUUAGCUGCUUUUUGCUGCUCUGUCCAUGGAUGCAUUUGAAGAGUUCAAUGUUAAAAAAGGAAAUGGUUCAAUGAUACAAAUGUUGAAUGGUGAGCAUAUUUUUGCUGAAAAUUUUGCGGCUCCUGAAAAAGCACCCCUCGCUAGUUAAAGGAAUUCUGAAGGAAGAGCCAUAAGGACCUACAGUUACACGAGGGCAAGCUCUUCCAUGGCGGAUGGCAGAGGGCAAGAGGCCAAGCCAAAACACACAAGCGCGUUUCAAGCCCCUGGCUGGACCAGACCUAAAGUGUCUGCUCAUAUACCGUCAGCCAGAGGAUACCAGCCACUGCCUAUCCUGAGCACCGUCCGAGAUACUUUAAGAAGAGAACUCCUCCGUGUUAGCCUUCCAGCGGAAGGUGGCCAGGACUGAUGGCGAGACCGACGAGCCUCAACAUCACUUUUUGUCCUUACUCUUUACGUUCUCCUCUCCACGCCCACUGCCUCUGCCUUCCUGCAGCCUUCUAACGAGCCUCCACUUCUCUGGCCCCUCCCUUGUCUUGUCCCCACACUGCUUCUCAUUAUUUUCUUAUGAAAGAGCUCACAACCUCGCUUGCUC
rnacentral:lncRNA from 1 species